CUGAAAUAACAAUGCUGUGGGUAAUUCUUCGAC
rnacentral:sRNA from 1 species